AACGAACGCUGGCGGCAGGCUUAACACAUGCCAGUCGAGCGCCCCGCAAGGGGAGCGGCAGACGGGUGAGUAACGCGUGGGAACGUACCUUUUGGUUCGGAACAACUCCGGGAAACUGGAGCUAAUACCGGAUAAGCCCUAACGGGGAAAGAUUUAUCGCCGAAAGAUCGGCCCGCGUCUGAUUAGCUAGUUGGUGAGGUAACGGCUCACCAAGGCGACGAUCAGUAGCUGGUCUGAGAGGAUGAUCAGCCACACUGGGACUGAGACACGGCCCAGACUCCUACGGGAGGCAGCAGUGGGGAAUAGUGGACAAUGGGCGAAAGCCUGAUCCAGCCAUGCCGCGUGAGUGAUGAAGGACUUAGGGUUGUAAAGCUCUUUUGUCCGGGAAGAUAAUGACUGUACCGGAAGAAUAAGCCCCGGCUAACUUCGUG
rnacentral:rRNA from 1 species